rnacentral:tRNA from 1 species
CAGGGCUGGGGUCCAACCAUGUGGCAGCAGUUUCUUUUUUUUUUUUUUUUUUGACAUUUAUCUUGGUUUAUUUUAUUUUUUAAUACAUGUUUGCUUUUCUGUGGCAACAGUUUCGACUGGGAGAGAGGCUCGGGAGACCUGAGGCAGGGAGGCGAGGAGCUGGGAGGUCCUCAGACCACUUUGAAUCCACCUUAAUCCUGUCUGUAGCCAAAACCCAGCCCCAGCGCUCAGUGUGACCUGUCUGGGGCCAGGGCCGCCCUCUUCCUGGCCGUGACCCAGGACCGGCCUGGGGCCCAGCACGAUGUGAAGGCACUGGGGACCUGUGCCAGGCCCUGGGCUUCGAGACCACCCUGAAGACAGACCCUACAGCCCAGCUUCUCCAGGGGGACCAGAGAACCAGCUGCAGGAGGCUGGACCCACGUCACCUCCAAUGAGGCCAUGCAACCAGAAGGGCACAGGGACGCACACUGGUGUGGGACGCACACUCUCCCCUGGUUGUGGCUCUGGCUGCAGGCACCACCAGCCACCCCCUCCCCCGGCCGAUGUCCUCCACAUCUAUGCUGAUGUGCAAGGUGGGUCUACCUACCUCAGGGAGCCUGGGCUUGGGCGGGGCUGGUGGGGGGAGCUGUCUGGAGAGCACUUCCAGGGCUCUGAGCUGGGAUCCUGCUGCCACCUCCUUCCUCUCUUCGUCAAGAAGAUGGGAAGGAAAACCUUAAAUGGCAAAGGCCUUUGAAAAUGGAGAGUUUCUUCCCCUACUUGAGCCUGAAACAAGUGAAGGUGAAAUAGCUUUUCCGAGGUCACACAGCUGGUAAGAAGCAGCAGGGCUGAGAUUUGAAACUUGAUCUGGCUUUCCUGCUCUGCACUCUUUCUACUGCCCUGUGUGCCCUUGAGCAAGACUGGAGGAGACCCUUGGGGCUGGUGGAGUCCCAGGACGCUGGGUAAAAGGCAUUGGUCCCUCUUGCAGGCAGCUUCUCCGGGGGCCCCACUCCAGGGAGCCCUAACCAAGCAGACAUCUUGAUGGUCUACGCAGCCACUGAAGGUAAGGGGAUGGGUCUCCACAAAGCCCAUUACACAGGGCCUAGCCUCCUGGCCAGAGAUCUGAAGUGGCUUUAGGGGCAUCUGGCGCUUGGCUGUUGGGGUGCAGGGGUACCAGCCUCGUCGCAGUUAAGCCGUCUUCCUUCCAUGUAUAUUAUUUAUGAUAAUAGUAACGAUGGUGAGCACAUAUUGAAGGCUGGCUCUGCUAAGCACUGUACCUACAUCCUUUCCUCUAGGCUGUAAGUUCCAUGAGGGCAGGACAGUUCUGUCUGCCUCAGGGCCCUGGCCAGUGCCUGGCACGUAGUAGGUUCACAGUAAAUGUUUCUUCGAUAUUGAAUCCAUUGUAUAUUCACUACACAAACAUUGAGCAACAACUUGAUCCGGAAGCGAGAAGUUCCUGCUCCCCUGCCCCAUUCUCUUGCCUGACUGCUGGGGUCCUGUGUGCUUGCCCCCACCUCCACCAACAAUAGGCCCCUGGGGAGGCAAUAGGAAGGCAGCUGGCAGGGGCCUGAGUCUGACACUCUGGCCCUGGUGCCCUGGCCUGGGCUGUGUAGCCUUUCGGGAUGAGAAGGGCUCAGACUUUAUCCAGAUGCUGGUGGAGGUCCUCAGAGCUGACCCCAGGGAAGACCUCCUGGAGCUGAUGACUGAGGUGAGUUGGGGGUGGGGGGUCUCCUGGGGAGAGGAGCUGGAUUCAUCCUUCUUCUCAGCCCUGGUGUUCUGGUCACCUCCUAUUCACCCCAUUGCAGAGGGAGGGAUACCCCGCCCUCAAUAGUAUGAGACGGUUGAACACACAACACCCGGCCCUGGACAGUGAGACGGACAGCAGUUAUUAACCACAUAUACUCACAGCUGGGGGAGGAGGACACCUCAGGCCAUUCUGGCCACUCAGUGUUUCCCUGGGAAGUACAGGGAACCAGCAGGGGUUGUAGAUGCAGACUUUGUAGUAACGGGGUGGGGUACUAGUUUGAAUAAUUUCACAGGCUGGCAGGGAACUGGGGUGGAGUGUGGCUGAUCUGGCUGGUGGGGGAACUAGCGGGAUGGGGGGGCCUUCCCUGCUGGGUCGGGGGGUACAGCUGACAAGAGCAGGGGAAACCAACGGGGCCUGUGAGACCCAAAGAUGUGAAGGCAACACUUGAAACUUUAGGCCUUACAAUACACUGGAUGCCAGGCUGGGCGCUGGGGGACCUGGCAGUCCUGGGCACAGGCUGGGUGUGGUCGGCACAGGUCAGUUGGCAGGUGUGCAAGCUAGACGUGCUGGGUCCCUACUGUGAUGAGCACCGCAAGGCCUGUCUGGAGAUCCGCAGCUCGUUGAGGUGCUGGCUCUGCCUGCAGGCCUGACUGAGCCCGCGGCUACCAAGGGGAUGCUGACUGUGGGUGGCCACACACCAACGCCAUCCCUGACCCCAUCCGCUCCUCGGUUUCCUCAUCUAAAAGCGGCGCGAUAGCACGGGAGGCUCAGCCGCCAUGGAAUAAACAUGAUGAUCGCUGUACACGUGAAUAGCGCCUGCACGCAGGGAGCUGUGACACUAAGUGAGAUAAUGUAUGCAGAGUGCCUGGCACUUCAGAGGCUGGGCCCACCGGGUGAGGAGGGGGAGCAGGGGAGGCGCCAGGGCAGCCUCCGGCUCUAAGAAACCCAACAUGGGCUAGGCUGAGCUGGAUGUCCUGGGAAAGGGCAGCGCGGGGUCCACACCAUCCUCCCAGCACGCGCACCCCACCUGCACACCACGCUGGGGCCACGGACAGGGCCUCUGCCUAUACAGCAGUCAGAGUCCAUUCUGGGGCCAUAAGACUGGAACAGAGCAUGGCAGGUUUAGCAGUGCUGUGAUAGGGGAAGCAAAGGGGCUGGGGGAGCAGAGGGCAACUCCUGACCCACUGCGGGCCGGGGUCACGUGGGAGAAGAGAUCAGGAGCCUCUCGGGACAGGAGGGGCUUGGGCAGCCUCACCCAGGCUCGAACCCUCACUUGGGCUGUGCUCAGUAGCGCUCAGUCGCACAGCUUGGAGCCCCGCUCACACCGAGCCCGAGGGGCGGGGCUCCUUGCCAGUGUGAGCAUGCGUAUUACGGCAUAUUGAACAGGCGCCUGAGAAAGCUUUAUGAGAAAAGCUGCAAUAGAAAUAACGGCAAGGCCGCGUGGCCUAAUGGAUAAGGCGUCUGAUUCCGGAUCAGAAGAUUGAGGGUUCGAGUCCCUUCGUGGUCGUUGCAGAGAUUGCUUUUUCUACUCCGGGUAAAAAACAAACAAACAAACACUUUUCCCUCUCUCCAGACUGCUCCCUACGCGGGCCUAGGAUCCUCGGGCCAUGUCCGCCCCUCGGACGUAGCGCUGCACCUGCAGCUGCGUAGCUCGGGACACCUGGGAGGCCCCGAGGGCGCUGGGAGGACCUAUAGUGCUCAGAUCCAGACGAAAUGCUGACUCUGAAGCCCACCGGCCGUGAGUGCCGGGAGCCCACACGGGACUGGCUGCAUGAAUAUAGUUCAGACGACGAGAACUGCGACAGAUGAGUGGUUGAAUUUUUGCACGGGUAGGUCACCCCCAAGGGGUCAGUGGACAGGGGCAUUUAAAAAUAUAAUAGAUUAUUGUGAUGAAGUUUUGGAAAUAGAUAGUAAUGAUGCUUGCACAAUAUUGUAAAUGUAACUGAUGCCAGUAAAUUGUACAGUUAAAAAUGGUUAAAAUGGCAAAUUUAACCUUAAGCGUAUAUUUUACCACAAUAAAAAAUGUGAAAAGAAAUUAAUAGAUUAUUUCGAUUUCUUGCAGUGAGAGUAUACCCUUAA